rnacentral:rRNA from 1 species
UACGGAGGAUCCCGAGCGUUAUCCGGAUUUACUGGGUUUAAAGGGUGCGUAGGCGGGCGCUUAAGUCAGCGGUGAAAAUGCGGGGGCGUCAACCUUACGUAACGGCCGUUGAUACUGGGCGCCUUGGAUUCGGUCGAGGCGGGCGGAAUGCGACAUGUAGCGGUGAAAUGCUUAGAUAUGUCGCAGAACGCCGAUUGCGAAGGCAGCUCGCCGGGCCGAUAUUGACGCUGAGGCACGAAAGCGUGGGGAUCGAACAGGAUUAGAAA